UUGAAGAUGAAGCUCCUUCGGGCAGUAUUCUGUUACAAGCAGCUAAGGCCUAUGUGCCUAUGGAUGACUGUUCUGAAGCUAUUGAAGAACCGAUUGCUGCAAUAGUGAAUCACUGGUUUUCUCAUGGUUUGAAAGAGGAAGACCAUAAGGAGAUUUUGGCAGAUGAGGCUUCUAAACGUCCUAGAAACUGUAAGGCACUUAUCCCAGUCAAGUGCAACUCACAAGUGCUGGAUGCCCUACCCACUGAGGCAAAGAAAGCUGAUUUCCGACUGAAGGAAAUUGGUAAGGAUAUAACUAAGGCUGCCACUAUUAUGGUUAAAUCACUUACUGUUCUGGACAAGUUUGCCAAUGAGGAGCAGAAUCAGGUUAUUGGUCAUGAGGUGGCUAUGCUUAAUGGUGCCUUGGGGUUGUUAGGGCAUGCAAACUUUAAACUGAAUAUGAAUAGACAGUUUUUCCUCAAACGAGAGAUAAACCAAAAGUAUGCGCACUUAUGCACUGAUAAGACUCCUGCGACUGGCUUACUGUUUGGGGAUGAUCUUACUCAAGCUACCAAACAGAUUGAGGAGGCCGAAAGGCUGAAGAACAAGUUUACCCACAAGAAGACUUCCCAUUUUGGAGCUCCAGGUCUUCGGAAGUUAAGUGGUGGUAAGCAACGUGGUUUCUUUGGGAAGCCAGCUUUCCGGGGUAUGUCUACCCGGUUUAAAUCUUACGGCUUACACAAACCUGCCACCAGAGGGGACGGCUGCCCUUCUUAUCACAGAGGGAACUCCUCUUCAAAAAACCCAAGGGGCCGGGGACACUACAAUCCCCGGCAGUAAUUCAGGUAAGGAAUGACUUUGAAGCGGGUCAGCUUCAUAAGUUUAUUGGUGAAUGGUGCAAACUUACUAGUGAUCCUUUCAUUUUGGACAUUGUUAAACUUUGCCAUCUUGAGAUUGAUGAACAGAACAUUACUCAUUUAUUUUCUGAGGAAGUGGAAUACAAAUUUAGUGAUGAGGAGAAAGUUAUUAUGACUAAUGAAAUAGAUAAAUUGUUGAGCCAGAAGGUUAUCAAAGAGACUCACAGACAGGUGGGCCAGAUUAUUUCACCAGUUUUCUUGAGAGAGAAAAAAGAGGGUGGCUACAGGUUGGUGCUUAAUUUGAAGAAACUCAACAAAUUCAUGAAUUACAUCCAUUUCAAAAUGGAAAAUUUUGAGCAGGCAAUUAGGCUAAUCAGUUCAGGCGCUUUCAUGGCUUUGGUGGAUCUGAAGCAUGCUUAUUAUUCAGUCAAAAUUGCAGAGGAGCAGCAAAAAUACCUUUGUUUUAAAUGGGCAGGGAAGAUAUACCAAUUCACUUGCCUUCCUAAUGGUGCUUCUGCAGGUCCUCGUCUUUUCACUAAACUUUUGAAGCCGAUUUUUUCUUUUUUGAGAUUGAAAGGCUACACCAUUACUUCCUUUAUAGAUGAUACUCUUAUAUGUAGCAAGUCAGUUGAGGAUUGUGUUGCUUGUUUAAAGGAUACUGUGGAAAUUUUGCAAAAUGUGGGGUUUUGUAUUAAUGUGGACAAGUCAGUAUUGGUAGCUGCCAUUCCGGCCGUUGAAUUAGGUAAGCUCCAUUACAGAAUUUUAGAAAAGGCCAAAAUUGUUGCAUUAAAGGUAGGAAAGGGCAACUUUGACAAAUUUAUGACUAUCUCAAAGGAAAUGAAAAUGGAGCUGAGUUGGUGGAUCUCUGAAGUAGGUACGCAAGUUCGGAAAAUUAUUCGGACUGCUCCUUCUGUUGAAGUUUUUACUGAUGCCUCAGAUUUAGGUUGGGGUGGUUGUGUAUUAAAGCAUUCCACCAAUGGUAAAUGGACAACAGAAGAAAGUUGCCUACACAUUAAUGCAAGGGAACUCAAGGCCAUCUUGUUUACCCUUCAAUCUUUUGCUUACUUGCUUAAAGGCUGCCAUGUUAAAGUUAUGUGUGAUAAUACCACAGCCAUUGCUUAUGUUAAUGAGAUGGGUGGAACUAAAUCACUAGUGUGUAACUCUAUCUGCAUUGAUAUCUGGAACUGGUGUAUUUCCAAUGACAUCUGGAUUACUUGUGCACACAUACCAGGAAAGAAGAAUGUGUUGGCGGAUGAAGCCUCUCAUAAUUUUAAUGACAAACAUGAAUGGAAACUUAAUCCAAAGAUUUUUAAAGAGUUGUGUAUAGUUUUUGGAACUCCCUCCAUUGACUUAUUUGCUUCUCGCUUAAACAAGCAAAUAGAUUGUUUUUGCUCAUGGAGACCUGAUCCUGAAGCAAAGCAUGUGGAUGUGUUCACAUUAAAUUGGGCCAGUUUCGAUCUGAUUUACCUUUUCCCACCAUUUUCUCUCAUUACUAGGUGUCUACAGAAAAUGAGGGAGGAGAGAGCCAAGGGGUGGAUGGUUGUUCCAAUGUGGAAUUCCCAACCUUGGAUGGGCCCUUUUCUGCAAAUGUUGAUCAAGGCCCCCAGGCUCAUCACUCAGAAAACAAAUGUACUACGACAUCCCUCAUCAGCGGAAGAACACCCGAUUAUGACCCACACCCAAUUGAUGGCAUGUCUUUUGUCAGGCAACAACUUAGAGGGAGAGGUGUAUCGUCAGAAGGUACAGAGAUUAUCAUGGCAUCGUGGAGACCAGGUAUGCUGAAACCUGGGAUGUGCAGCCAGUAUUGCAGAAGCUGAGGUCCAUGAGCCCAUUACAAGACCUAUCUUUGAAAUCUUUAACUUUGAAAUUGGUGAUGCUUAUGGCAUUGACUCAAGCUGCAAGAGUACAGACCUUACAUUUAUUAUUGUAUUCCAAUGCUAUUGUUGAUAACAAUUCUGUAUCUCUUUUGUUAGGGGGCAACAUUAAGCAGUGUCGUCCGAAGUUUAAUGUGAGAAUGCUUAAGUUUUAUGUUUAUUUACCUGAUUCUAGAAUGUGUGUUGUAAAUACCUUGAAGGAAUAUAUUAACAGAGCGGAGAAUCUGAGAAAGGAAUUUGGGAAGGAUAAUGGGAAACUCCUCAUCAGUGUGGUGAAGCCACAUAAAAGUGUUUCCAAAGAUACAGUGGCAAGGUGGAUUAAAACUGUUCUUGUCGACUGUGGUAUUAAUACUAAGAAAUUCACGGCUGGCAGUGUUCGACCAGCCUCUGCUUCCAAGGCCAAAGCCAUGGAUGUCCCAGUUAACAUUAUCUUAUCUAAGGCAGGUUGGACUCAGGAGACAACCUUUGCUAAACACUAUAAUAAGGAGAUCACUCAGGUUUCAGAUUUUUUUCAAGAGGCCAUACUGGAUUCUGUAUUGUAAUGUUAACAGGUUUCUCUAUUCAUUUGCGUUGGAUCUCAAUUGACAUAUUUUGUUUGUUUUAUACAUGUACUAUAUGUUUUUGUAAGGGACAUAUCUGUUUAAGGAGGAGGAUUUUUCAUACAAUGAAGUUGGGAUACAUA